AACGAACGCUGGCGGCAGGCCUAACACAUGCAAGUCGAGCGAGGACUUCGGUCCUAGCGGCGGACGGGUGAGUAACGCGUGGGACGUGCCCUUUGGUACGGAAUAGCCCCGGGAAACUGGGAGUAAUACCGUAUGGUGUCUUCGGACUAAAGAUUUAUCGCCAAAGGAUCGGCCCGCGUUGGAUUAGGUAGUUGGUGGGGUAAUGGCCUACCAAGCCGACGAUCCAUAGCUGGUUUGAGAGGAUGAUCAGCCACACUGGGACUGAGACACGGCCCAGACUCCUACGGGAGGCAGCAGUGGGGAAUCUUAGACAAUGGGGGCAACCCGUGAUCUAGCCAUGCCGCGUGAGUGAUGAAGGCCCUAGGGUUGUAAAGCUCUUUCAGCUGGGAAGAUAAUGACGGUACCAGCAGAAGAAGCCCCGGNUAACUCCGUG
rnacentral:rRNA from 1 species